rnacentral:tRNA from 1 species
ACAUUGGUGGCUCAGUGGUAGAAUUCUUACCUUCCAUGUGGGUGACCUGGGUUUGAUUCCUGGCCAAUAUU